rnacentral:rRNA from 1 species
ACUCCUACGGGAGGCAGCAGUGGGGAAUUUUCCGCAAUGGGCGCAAGCCUGACGGAGCAAUACCGCGUGUGGGAGGAAUGCUCUUGGGUUGUAAACCCCUUUUCUCAAGGAAGAACACAAUGACGGUACUUGAGGAAUAAGCCUCGGCUAACUCCGUGCCAGCAGCC